GUUUAAUCUUCUCAAAAAAGCUGAAGCAGGGGGGAGGGAGACGUUUCUCACAGCUGCACGAGGAGGCUGUUGCUAGGUAGAUUUCUGAGAAGGCGGGAACGGCUUGACCAAUGACAGACUCGCUUGCCUCAUGUGUUCGUUCUCUCGUCUGAUUGGUUGACGGUACGCCGUUCCUUCGACGAUAGUUCGAGUUCCCCUCCUAAACGAAAACGAAAAAGAAAUGUUUUUAACCCGACUCUGUAUGAACUUUCUUUGGUUUUAGUCUUCAGUCUUUUAGGCUGCAUUCAGGAAUCUGCAUUUCCAUAAAUUAUUUACUGCCGCUGAAAAUACCGCUCGGCCUGUGGAUCUCUGUGGGAUGAGGUCGUUGGUCAUGUUCCACCUGGACCUUCAGCAGACACGUGUGAGGAGACCAUGAAGUGGAUUCUCCUGAUAAUAAUUCUCAGCUGUGCUGUUUUAAUCCCUGAAACCUCCCUAACCACCUACAAGGCCCAUGAAAACGACGACAUCUCCAUCAGGUGGGACACCCUGUCCCGGUCCGACCUGACCAGCUCCAGCAUGGUCUGUUUCUUCCUUUCAAACUCCAAUGUUCUGUACAAGAGGAUAAACGGCAUGGAGUCUCCAGAUUUUCAGCAUCGGCAGUUCGCAGAGCGAGUUCGGUGUGACGGAGACGCUCUGAGAGAAGGACGAGUUGUUCUUCAUCUCUCUAAAGUCAGAGUGGAGGACUCUGGGAGAUUCCGAUGUGUCUUGCAUGCUCAUUACAACACGAUCCAGGAAAAAUGGGAGACCUACGCGCAUGAAAUCUUUCUUCUGAAUGUGACCACAGCCUCUAAAGAGGAGAACCGAGUGCUCAGCAGUGGGCCAGCGUCAGCCGCAGGCGCUGAAGAUCCACCAGUAAGACGUAGAUCAAGAAGACGAGCGAAUGAUCCAACCGGAGCUGGAAUUCCACUGGCGGUGGUCGCUCUGGCACUUCUGAUAGUGUAUGGAGUCUAUCUAGUACUCAGAGCUUGGUUGUAAAGCAUCCAUCAUCAAAAACAUGAAGUUCCUGACAUCUCCUUUACCUCCACCGACUGUUGGCUUCUGGGAAAAUCAUCCGUCCAUCUGUUGGUUCUUAGUUUGAAAUUUAGAGACAUAAGCCAAAAGUAGACUUAAAAAGCUAGAAUAUUUGUCAUAAUCUAAAAGAACCCCUUUCUUGUGUUUUAGAGCUAAACUUUAAAUGGUCAUAUAUCAUAAUGUAAUAUACUUUCAUUUUUAAGUGAACGCUUUUGAACUACAGCAGGUUAGAACUUGCAGCUCCAGGCACAAAGAGCUAAUAUUUUAAUCCAUAUUGGAGUGUACUCUACUACAUCCUUUCUUCAAUUUGAAGAGUUUUUAAACGAUAUUUUUACAAACUAAAACUAUUUUUAAAAAGUUUUUUUUUUUAAAUAAACCAUGUUUACAUUAGUCUGCAGGUGACAUCCAGCAUAAUGAAGGGAGAUGUGGGUUGUCUGCAGGUGAAAACAUGUGAAACAAGUCUGGGUUGCUUGCACAUAAUGUCAAUGUCGUCGUCUGCUUGGUCAACAGACUUCAUGCACAUUUUCUAUUAGGGUCAUGCUGCGAGUGGAAGGUAUUGGUGAACACUUAUACAACACGUAAGGAUAAAUAAGGCUGAAGAAGGUUUUUGCAACAAGAUCAACACGCCAUUAAACUGGAAGUCGAUUGUUGACGGAAGGGAUGCAAAUAUUCUGAUUGAAUAAAAAACGUUCUACUUUAUGUGUCAGCACGGCGCACCAGAGUUGCACCUGAGACGGACAUCCUUACAAAUAUUUGACGAUACACGUACGACAAUGGUACGUUCCAUUUUCAUGAGGUGGUCAUACGAGCCUCAAGCGAACUGACACUCUUAUGAUGCGACCGCUCCUCUCUACGACCCUCUACGGACCCAGACAACCCAAAAAUCUGCAGCGCCCAUAUAGGAGCGAACAAACUGCUUCACAGGAAGCCUAUUCACUAAAAACAGCAAAUCUGAGAUAUUAAAAGCAUUAAAAGUAAUCUUUUAUAAUUAGUUUUUUAUAUAAUUGGAAUUAAUCAAGCAAACAAAACAAAUUAAAAUAUAAGAAACUCUAAAUAGAUUAUACUUAGGAAUAAUUUCUUUAAAGGGAGUUGUUUUUUUUUUUUGUUUUUGGUUUUUUUUUUAAUAAUCUGGUUCUGUUUAAAAUUAUUUAUUCUUUACCAGUACAAGUAAAAAUCAUAUAUCAAGUAUUAUUAAAUUUCAAAGUCAAAAAUUGUUGAUUAACAUACUACAAUGUAUUACUCUAUAAAUAAUCAAAAAAGAUCAAGUGUUUCUUCGUAGUAACUGAUUUGAAAUUCAUAAUCAUUAUUGUUAUUUCUAUGAUGUAUACUUUUUUUUCCGUCAAAAUCCGUGUCAUCCUGAUUUAACCAAGUUAUAAGAAAUAAUAUAUCCCUGCUGUGGCACAAGAAGAAGAAUGUUGCAAGAAAGUUGUUCUUUAAAGUUGUGUGUAAGAAUUCAUACAUGUCAUUAUUGCUCCUCCAUAUUUCAGUGAAACAAGCAGUUUUAUGAAAACUCUUUUUCUAAAUUAAAUUGAGGUUUGCAAUCUAAAUAAUGUUGGAAAAAUAAAUGAAU
rnacentral:lncRNA from 1 species